CACGUGGAUCGUCUGAAAUGGACUUAUUGCGCAUUUUAAGUGAAGCAGUGUGUUUGUAUAUAUUAAAAAAAAAAAAUAAAAUUAAAAAAACAAGGUU